rnacentral:rRNA from 1 species
AUCUGGCUCAGAACGAACGCUGGCGGCGUGCUUAACACAUGCAAGUCGAACGCGAAAGGGACUUCGGUCCUGAGUAAAGUGGCGCACGGGUGAGUAACGCGUAGAUAACCUGUCUUCAUGUCUGGAAUAAUACGCCGAAAGGGGUACUAAUACCGGAUAUUCUUGCUUUUCAUAAGUUAUGCAAGCAAAGGUGGCCUCUGCAUAUGCUACUGCAUGAAGAGGGGUCUGCGUACCAUUAGCUAGUAGGUGGGGUAAGUGGCCUACCUAGGCGACGAUGGUUAGCGGGUCUGAGAGGAUGAUCCGCCACACUGGCACUGGAACACGGGCCAGACUCCUACGGGAGGCAGCAGUGAGGAAUAUUGCGCAAUGGGGGAAACCCUGACGCAGCGACGCCGCGUGAGUGAGGAAGGCCUUCGGGUCGUAAAGCUCUGUCAAGAGGAAAGAAGUGUACAAUGGCUAAUACCUGUUGUAUUUGACGGUACCUCUAAAGGAAGCACCGGCUAACUCCGUGCCAGCCGCCGC